UACGGAGGGGCUAGCGUUGUUCGGAAUCAUUGGGCGUAAAGGGCGCGUAGGCGGCCGAUCAAGUCGGAGGUGAAAUCCCUCGGCUCAACUGAGGAAUUGCCUUCGAUACUGUUCGGCUUGAGUCCUGGAGAGGGUAGCGGAAUUCCCGGUGUGAGCGGUGAAAUGCGUAGAUAUCGGGAGGAACACCAGUGGCGCAAGCGGCCGCCUGGCACUGACCUGACACUGAGCCACGACGGCGUGGGGAGCAAACGGG
rnacentral:rRNA from 1 species